rnacentral:rRNA from 1 species
AAGAGGUCUGCUGACUCGCCAUUUUUAUUGAUAACAAAAACGUUUUGUUUUGAUUUUUGUGUCACUUGUUGAUGCAUUAUUCAAUUAUCAAGUCUUAUCGGUGGAUCACUCGGUUCGUAGGUCGAUGAAAAACGGGGCAAAAACCGUUAUUUGGC